rnacentral:tRNA from 1 species
GUUGCCGUAGCCGAGUGGUUAAGGCGAUAGACUUGAAAACUUUUGGGAUUUUCCCACGCAAGUUCGAAUCCUGUCGAAAACG